GGUUUCGUGGUGUAGUGGUUAUCACGUCUGCUUCACACGCAGAAGGCCGCGAGUUCAAACCUCGCCAAAACCU
rnacentral:tRNA from 1 species